GAUGAACGCUGGCGGCGUGCCUAAUACAUGCAAGUCGAGCGAACAGACGAGGAGCUUGCUCCUUCGACGUUAGCGGCGGACGGGUGAGUAACACGUAGGUAACCUACCUAUAAGACUGGGAUAACUUCGGGAAACCGGAGCUAAUACCGGAUAAUAUUUCGAACCGCAUGGUUCGAUAGUGAAAGAUGGCUUUGCUAUCACUUAUAGAUGGACCUGCGCCGUAUUAGCUAGUUGGUAAGGUAACGGCUUACCAAGGCAACGAUACGUAGCCGACCUGAGAGGGUGAUCGGCCACACUGGAACUGAGACACGGUCCAGACUCCUACGGGAGGCAGCAGGAGGGAAUCUUCCGCAAUGGGCGAAAGCCUGACGGAGCAACGCCGCGUGAGUGAUGAAGGUCUUCGGAUCGUAAAACGCUGUUAUUAGGGAAGAACAAACGUGUAAGUAACUGUGCACGUCUUGACGGUACCUAAUCAGAAAGCCACGGCUAACUACGU
rnacentral:rRNA from 1 species